AUGGCGUCACGGAGUGAACGACUAGCGGCAGGCUAACACGAUGCAAGUCGAGGGCGAUCGGAGUAGCAAUACUUGCCGGCGACCGGCGCAAGGGUGCGUAACGCGUGAGCAACAUGCCCGUAUCAGGGGGAUAAUCCAUGGAAACGUGGUCUAAUACCCCAUAGUAAUUAUGUAAGGCAUCUUAUAUAAUUUAAAGCUUUGGUGGAUACGGAUUGGCUCGCGUGACAUUAGCUGGAUGGUAAGGUAACGGCUUACCAUGGCUACGAUGUCUAGGGGUUCUGAGAGGAAGGUCCCCCACACUGGAACUGAGACACGGUCCAGACUCCUACGGGAGGCAGCAGUGAGGAAUAUUGGACAAUGGAUGGAAAUCUGAUCCAGCCAUGCCGCGUGCCAGGAAGACGGCCCUAUGGGUUGUAAACUGCUUUUGUAUGGGAGCAAUAAGGGCUACGUGUAGUCCGAUGAGAGUACCAUACGAAUAAGCACCGGCUAACUCCGUGCCAGCCGCCGC
rnacentral:rRNA from 1 species